UAUGCUUUAGUAUAUGAUGAAUAAAAGUUUUUGAUACUUUAGGUGGUAGUUUGAUUCUGCCAAGCAUAA
rnacentral:tRNA from 1 species